rnacentral:rRNA from 1 species
AGUGAACGCUGGCGGUAGGCCUAACACAUGCAAGUCGAACGGCAGCACAGUAAGAGCUUGCUCUUACGGGUGGCGAGUGGCGGACGGGUGAGGAAUACAUCGGAAUCUACUUUUUCGUGGGGGAUAACGUAGGGAAACUUACGCUAAUACCGCAUACGACCUACGGGUGAAAGCAGGGGAUCUUCGGACCUUGCGCGAUUGAAUGAGCCGAUGUCGGAUUAGCUAGUUGGCGGGGUAAAGGCCCACCAAGGCGACGAUCCGUAGCUGGUCUGAGAGGAUGAUCAGCCACACUGGAACUGAGACACGGUCCAGACUCCUACGGGAGGCAGCAGUGGGGAAUAUUGGACAAUGGGCGCAAGCCUGAUCCAGCCAUACCGCGUGGGUGAAGAAGGCCUUCGGGUUGUGAAGCCCUUCUGUUGGGAAAGAAAAGCAGCAGGUUAAUACCCCGCUGUUCUGACGGUACCCAAAGAAUAAGCACCGGCUAACUUCGUG